GGGUUUGUAGCUCAGUGAUAGAGCGCUUGCCUCACACACAUGAGGCCCUGGGUUCAAUCCUCAGCACCA
rnacentral:tRNA from 1 species